CAGUCGCCGCGGUAAUACGUAGGUGGCAAGCGUUGUCCGGAAUUAUUGGGCGUAAAGGGCUCGCAGGCGGUUUCUUAAGUCUGAUGUGAAAGCCCCCGGCUCAACCGGGGAGGGUCAUUGGAAACUGGGAAACUUGAGUGCAGAAGAGGAGAGUGGAAUUCCACGUGUAGCGGUGAAAUGCGUAGAGAUGUGGAGGAACACUAGUGGCGAAGGCGACUCUCUGGUCUGUAACUGACGCUGAGGAGCGAAAGCGUGGGGAGCGAACAGGAUUAGAUACCCCUGUAGUCCCUGUCUCUUAUAC
rnacentral:rRNA from 1 species